rnacentral:rRNA from 1 species
GAUGAACGCUGGCGGCGUGCCUAAUACAUGCAAGUCGAGCGAACAGACGAGGAGCUUGCUCCUCUGACGUUAGCGGCGGACGGGUGAGUAACACGUGGAUAACCUACCUAUAAGACUGGGAUAACUUCGGGAAACCGGAGCUAAUACCGGAUAAUAUAUUGAACCGCAUGGUUCAAUAGUGAGAGACGGUUUUGCUGUCACUUAUAGAUGGAUCCGCGCCGCAUUAGCUAGUUGGUAAGGUAACGGCUUACCAAGGCAACGAUGCGUAGCCGACCUGAGGGGGUGAUCGGCCACACUGGAACUGAGACACGGUCCAGACUCCUACGGGAGGCAGCAGUAGGGAAUCUUCCGCAAUGGGCGAAAGCCUGACGGAGCAACGCCGCGUGAGUGAUGAAGGUCUUCGGAUCGUAAAACUCUGUUAUUAGGGAAGAACAAAUGUGUAAGUAACUAUGCACGUCUUGACGGUACCUAAUCAGAAAGCCACGGCUAACUACGUG